UGGGGAAUAUUGCACAAUGGAGGGAACUCUGAUGCAGCGACGCCGCGUGAACGAAGAAGGCUUUCGAGUCGUAAAGUUCUUUUAUAUGGGAAGAUAAUGACGGUACCAUAAGAAAAAGCCCCGGCUAACUACGUGCCAGCAGCCGCGGGAAUACGUAGGGGGCUAGCGUUGUCCGGAAUCACUGGGCGUAAAGGGUUCGCAGGCGGAAAUGCAAGUCAGGUGUAAAAGGCAGUAGCUUAACUACUGUAAGCAUUUGAAACUGCAUAUCUUGAGAAGAGUAGAGGUAAGUGGAAUUUUUAGUGUAGCGGUGAAAUGCGUAGAUAUUAAAAAGAAUACCGGUGGCGAAGGCGACUUACUGGGCUCAUUCUGACGCUGAGGAACGAAAGCGUGGGUAGCAAACAGG
rnacentral:rRNA from 2 species